UUCCCAUCCACUACACACUAAAACUUUACCAAGUUAAAUGUUGGGACAUAUAUGCUACAAAUCUACGGUUAAAGACAUAAAAGAAAUGUAGAUAAGAUUGUGCAAAACUUCUUGUACCCAAAGAGCAAAGAAGUCAGUCAUAUAAUCACCAAACAUAAUUAGGUUCUAAGUAAUUAUAACAAUUUGAACAACAAUGAUUGAAGAAAAGAAUAAAAAGCAGUUCAGUAGCAAGACACACGAGACACGGCUCUAUACCAAACCAAAUCAAGCCCUUAAAGCAAUGAAUAAAUAAGGAUUUGACAUGUGGAACUUCACAAGAUCAAAUGAUCCCUUAAAUUGUUUUUCUUUGUUUUCAUCUGUAGCUACUGCUGCAUUAUAUGUUAAGAAGCAAAUCACUUGAUCAUUCCAUUCACUUGAUUAUUGUCAGCAAUGGAGCUCCUUUCAAUCUUUGGUGGGCCAGAAUACUGCCUAGGUGUGAAAGAAAGACGUUUCUUCACUGAUCCUGCUGGUGUGUUCUCUACCUGACUAUUCUCGACUCCUAGUGGAC
rnacentral:lncRNA from 1 species